rnacentral:rRNA from 1 species
AUUGAACGCUGGCGGCAGGCCUAACACAUGCAAGUCGAGAGAGCGGCGGACGGGUGAGUAAUGUAUGGGGACUGCCCGAUAGAGGGGGAUAACUACUGGAAACGGUAGCUAAUACCGCAUACUAUCGGAUAACCCAUAUGGGAUUAGCUAGUAGGUGAGGUAAUGGUCAACCUCGGCGACGAUCCCUAGCUGGUCUGAGAGGAUGAUAAGCCACACUGGGACUGAGAAACGGACCAGACUCCGACGGAGGCAGCAGUGGAGAAUAUUGCACAAUGGGCGCAAGCAUGAUGCAGCCAUGCCGCGUGUAUGAAGAAGGCCCUAGGGUUGUAAAGUACUUUCAGUCGGGAGGCGUUACCGACAGAAGAAGCACCGGCUAACUCCGUGCCAGCCUCCGCGGUAAUUC